rnacentral:lncRNA from 10 species
CUUAAUUUCUCAAAGAAAGAGAGAAGUUCAACACUGAAACUUGGGCGUUCAUGGAGUUACAAGAUGCCCUGGAGACUUAAAAGAUGAGUAAUGGAAGUAGGGUGAAGAGAACAAGCUUUAUUUACUUUGAAUGUUUGUCCCAAACUCCACUUUGUCCUAGUCCUACUAACACUCAUUAAAAACCAGCACUAUGUAUGAGAGCUGUGCCACUGCUCUCUCUGUAACUGGCAGCGCUUGCUUAGGGCUCCUAAGAUUGGCUCCUUAUGAGGUUGGCUUUUUCAUGAGCUUCGGUGUGAGAAACAGACCUCCUCUGGAGAGAGGCAAGUUCACUGUCUACGUGGGCUGGCAAUGCCGGGAAAGAGUCCAUUCAGGUGGAGAAUCUCAUUCUGCAGUGCUCCCGCUAAGCAGCCCUUUCAACGUGCUCGCCUGGUGA